rnacentral:rRNA from 1 species
CGAUGGGGGGACGCAGUAGGAUAGGCGAAGCGUGCGAUUGGAUUGCACGUCUAAGCAGUAAGGCUGAGUAUUAGGCAAAUCCGGUACUCGUUAAGGCUGAGCUGUGAUGGGGAGAAGACAUUGUGUCUUCGAGUCGUUGAUUUCACACUGCCGAGAAAAGCCUCUAGAUAGAAAAUAGGUGCCCGUACCGCAAACCGACACAGGUAGUCAAGAUGAGAAUUCUAAGGUGAGCGAGCGAACUCUCGUUAAGGAACUCGGCAAAAUGACCCCGUAACUUCGGGAGAAGGGGUGCUCUUUAGGGUUAACGCCCAGAAGAGCCGCAGUGAAUAGGCCCAAGCGACUGUUUAUCAAAAACACAGGUCUCUGCUAA